rnacentral:lncRNA from 1 species
AGCAACUGAAAUCCAUGAAAAGGGAAUUGGUAGAAACAGAUUUUAAGUCAUCAAAAUCAUUCCAUCAAACCAAUUUCCAACACAGCAAAACUCUAGAUUCUGCAGCUGAAAUCAACACAACUUGAUGCUUCUAAGAAAAUAGGACGCUAAUUCAUGUGACAAUUUUGCGGUCGAAUUAGGUUAUCUUUUUAGGCUAGGUGGAAAUUAACCAUCUCCAUUCAAGUAAUGUAUCAUUAUCUGCUCUGUCACUUUCCCUUUAAUCCAGCUAAGGUAGUUAAUUCUGCCCACCGCCUAUGAAAAAAAUGCUGUGCUAGCAUAGCAAGUUACCAGCCUGUCAUUGUGUUUUGGUCCUUUUGGAUUAUUUUUCUUUCUACUUUGACUAGCAUGUGAGUCCAACAAACCAGGAACGACAGAUAUAAUUUUGGUUAUUCUACCCA